AUUGUAGUCUGCAACUCGACUACAUNAAGCUGGAAUCGCUAGUAAUCGCGGAUCAGAAUGCCGCGGUGAAUACGUUCCCGGGCCUUGUACACACCGCCCGUCACACCAUGGGAGCCGGUAAUACCCGAAGUCAGUAGUCCAACCUCGUGAGGACGCUGCCGAAGGUAGGAUUGGCGACUGGGGUGAAGUCGUAACAAGGUACC
rnacentral:rRNA from 1 species